GGAUUAGAUACCCUGGUAGUCCACGCCGUAAACGAUGCGCACUAGGUUGGAGAAGUUCUGACACUGUUUCCGGCCGAAGCAAAAGUGUUAAGUGCGCCGCCUGGGGAGUACGGUCGCAAGGCUAAAACUCAAAGGAAUUGACGGGGGCUCACACAAGCGGUGGAGCAUGUGGCUUAAUUCGAAGCAACGCGAAGAACCUUAUCCUGGGUUUGACAUGUAUGGAUUAACCCUAUGAAAGUAGGGCUACGCCUUCGGGUGGAACAUACACAGGUGCUGCAUGGCUGUCGUCAGCUCGUGCCG
rnacentral:rRNA from 1 species